rnacentral:rRNA from 1 species
CGAACGCUGGCGGCGUGCCUAAUACAUGCAAGUCGAACGGUCUUUCUAUGGAAGCUUGCUUCCACUGAGAAGAUAGUGGCGGACGGGUGAGUAACACGUGGGUAACCUGCCCAUAAGAGGGGGAUAACAUCCGGAAACGGGUGCUAAUACCGCAUAGUUUUCUUGAUCGCAUGAUUGAGAAAGGAAAGACGGCCUUUGUGCUGUCGCUUAUGGAUGGACCCGCGGCGUAUUAGUUAGUUGGUGAGGUAAUGGCUCACCAAGACGAUGAUACGUAGCCGACCUGAGAGGGUGAUCGGCCACAUUGGGACUGAGACACGGCCCAAACUCCUACGGGAGGCAGCAGUAGGGAAUCUUCCGCAAUGGACGAAAGUCUGACGGAGCAACGCCGCGUGAGUGAAGAAAAGGGUUUUCGGAUCGUAAAACUCUGUUGUCAGAGAAGAACAAGUUGGAGAGUAACUGCUCCAGCCUUGACGGUAUCUGACCAGAAAGCCACGGCUAACUACGUGCCAGCCGCGGC